GGGUGGUAAUGCCGGAUGCUCCAGUUGAUCGCAUGGUCUUCUGGGAAAGCUUUCGCGGUAUGGGAUGGGGUCGCGUCCUAUCAGCUUGACGGCGGGGUAACGGCCCACCGUGGCUUCGACGGGUAGCCGGCCUGAGAGGGCGACCGGCCACAUUGGGACUGAGAUACGGCCCAGACUCCUACGGGAGGCAGCAGUGGGGAAUAUUGCACAAUGGGCGCAAGCCUGAUGCAGCGACGCCGCGUGAGGGAUGGAGGCCUUCGGGUUGUAAACCUCUUUUAUCGGGGAGCAAGCGUGAGUGAGUUUACCCGUUGAAUAAGCACCGGCUAACUACGUGCCAGCAGCCGCGGUAAUACGUAGGGUGCAAGCGUUAUCCGGAAUUAUUGGGCGUAAAGGGCUCGUAGGCGGUUCGUCGCGUCCGGUGUGAAAGUCCAUCGCUUAACGGUGGAUCCGCGCCGGGUACGGGCGGGCUUGAGUGCGGUAGGGGAGACUGGAAUUCCCGGUGUAACGGUGGAAUGUGUAGAUAUC
rnacentral:rRNA from 1 species